rnacentral:rRNA from 1 species
GCACAAGCGGUGGAGCAUGUGGUUUAAUUCGACGCAACGCGAAGAACCUUACCAGGGCUUGACAUCCCCUGACCGCGUAUGAAAGUACGUUUUCACCUCGGGUGACAGGGAGACAGGUGGUGCAUGGUUGUCGUCAGCUCGUGUCGUGAGAUGUUGGGUUAAGUCCCGCAACGAGCGCAACCCCUACGUUUAGUUGCUAACGCGUGAAGGCGAGCACUCUAGACGAACUGCCGUUGACAAAACGGAGGAAGGUGGGGAUGACGUCAAAUCAUCACGCCCCUUAUGUUCUGGGCUGCACACGUGCUACAAUGGCCGGUACAGACGGACGCAAAGCCGCGAGGUGGAGCAAAUCCUAAAAAGCCGGUCUCAGUUCGGAUUGCAGGCUGCAAUUCGCCUGCAUGAAGUCGGAAUCGCUAGUAAUCGCAGGUCAGCAUACUGCGGUGAAUACGUUCCCGGGCCUU